rnacentral:tRNA from 1 species
GGCUGGUUAGCUCAGUCAGUUGAGCAUGGCGCUUACAACGCUAAGGUCGUGGGUUCGAUUCCCGUUCGGUCC